AUGCAGGAUCACCACUCAAUUGCGUUCUUAAGCAAGACCCUGGGGCCAAAACUGCGAUCUCUCUCCACCUCUGAAAAAGAAAGUUUGGCAGUGCUCAUGGCAGUUGAACGAUGGCGACCAUAUCUGUUGACCAAUGGGUUUGUCAUUCGAACGGACCACCGCAGCCUUGCCUGCAUGGAUGAGCAGCGGCUGACUAUCCCAUGGCAACAAAAGGCGAUGACAAAGUUACUUGGGCUGCACUACCGAAUUGAGUAUCGGAAAGGAGCUCUGAAUUAGGCAACGGAUGCACUAUCACGUCAUCCAGAUGCACUUGCAUGCGCCAUCUCAGUCUGUGUGCCGCGGUGGCUAGAUGAGGUAAAGCAGGGUGAUGCCCAGGACUCAAAAUGCACCAACAUGUUAUCUUCUGCAAAGGCAGGAACAACUCUGGUUGGCCCCUUUAAAGUGCAGGAUGGCCUUAUUCACUAUAAAGGGCGUGUGUGGAUAGGUAACAACACAUCAGUCCAGUAG
rnacentral:rRNA from 1 species